UGCUCUGAUGAAAUCACUUAUAGGAAGUGCCGUCAGAAGUGAAC
rnacentral:snoRNA from 1 species